ensembl:lncRNA
AGGUUACUAAUCAGAAAAGAUGGGGCUAAUCUAGUCACAGGAGCCCUUUAAAAGCAGAGUUCUCUUCAGCUGGUAACAGAAGGGCAAGUCAGAGAUUGAAGCAGGAGAAGGCCUUGAUGCCCUGACGCUGCUUUGAAAAUGGAGGGGCCUUGUGAGAAGGAAUGUGAGCGGCCUCUUGGAGCAGAGUGACCCCCAGCUGACAGCCAGCAAGGAAAUGGAGACCUCAUGCUGAAAACUGCAAGGCACUGAAUCCUGCUAACAACUUGAUGGCUUAGAAGACUCUGCCCCAGAGCCUCCAGGGGCCAGCAGAAUUUACCCCACUUUCACAUGCUCUGAAAAGAACUGUUUUUGAGUUGUUGUCUUUGAAGAUGCCUCGCUGAUACUGCGGAACAGCACAUCAGCUAAAAAACGGCCCCAACAACCAUUAGAUGCCUUUGCCCAUGAAGGAAGAAGCUGCUACUUCUUUGAGAACUGCCAUCUUGAGUUGAGACUGUGCAGUCCUUGGCCCUGAUGCUCAGCCCUCUUAUCUUUUCUUUGCGGAAGUCCCUGAUGAGGGAAGCCACAGGCAACUUCAUGGUAAAUGGUUUGAUGGAUGUGGCAACAGUCUGAUGCAUUUUUGAUGGAUAUAAAUAGUCUGGUGGACCCAAAUGUUUUCUCAGCAAACUCCUGGGAUGAUUUUUCUACCAAGGUUGGAAAAGAAGUUAUGUCUAGAAUCUCUUAGACAAUCUGAAACUUCCUUGGAUGUUUAAAAGGAAUUAGAAUAAAGGAACACAUUGCUAAAGUGAUGGAGAAGGAGGAGCUAGGAGAGAAAGCAGGGGCAGAGUGUCUUCAACAAAGGGACAGCACAUAUCUAUCUCAGAUCUUUUAGAUGCCUCUGAAUUAAAAGAUUUUCUUUCUGUCCUUUUCAGCCAUUGAAAUUCCAAAUUUGACUCUUUUUGAUUCACUCCAUUCUGUCUUUUUCCUUCAUGCAGGUAUACCAGGUUGCAAAUGGAAAGGCACAGAAAAAGUUCAGGAAGGCUCCUGGGUCCUUAAAUCCUGUAUUCAGGGGGCAGCCCCCUUGCUGUCCCUUGGUCGCCAGGGAAUUCCUUUGUGUAGGUUAGAGGCAGACCUAGGGCCUGAAACAAAGCAGAACAAGGGGCUACCUGUUCCCUUCCCUGUAGGCCCACACCCAGAUCUCAGCUGCCUUUAUCUCACCCCUCCUACGCAUCAACAAGAAGAAGGGAGACAGCACAGAGCUUUUGUCCCAAUGUCUAGAACAGAGAUGAUAGGAGGCCACCCACACAGGUGUCCUAGAUCAGGGCAUCAGCCAUAGAAUUUGCCAAUUCUCCUUGAAAGCUCCUGGGUUUUUUCUUCUACACGUAGUCCGAAUAGUCCUAGUUAAUAGAGCAACGAAUCACAGGAAACCAAACCUGGUUCAAAAGAAUCAUACAUCUCAGGCUAUCUUCUAUCUGAAGCUUUACAGCUGGGCCAAGCAAAACCAAGUUAAGUUUUUCUUUGGAACUCUCUAGCCUCAUGUUCUUGUUUUUGUCCACUUUUCCAAAUCACCAGCUUUCUUUGGAUGCACAGCAUCUUCUGG